GAUGAAGAACGUAGCAAAAUGCGAUACUUGGUGUGAAUUGCAGAAUCCCGUGAACCAUCGAGUUUUUGAACGCAAGUUGCGCCCAAAGCCUUUUGGCCGAGGGCACGUCUGCCUGGGCGUCACGCAUCGCGUCGCCCCCCACAAUUCUUCGUAAAGGGAACAUGUGUUUUGGGGGCGGAUAUUGGUCUCCCGUGCUCAUGGCGUGGUUGGCCGAAAUAGGAGUCCUUCCGAUGGACGCACGAACUAGUGGUGGUCGUAAAAACCCUCGUCUUUUGUUUCGUGCUGUUGCUCGCAAGGUAAACUCUUUAAAAACCCCAAUGUGUCGUCUCUUGACGACGCUUCGACCGCGACCCCAGGUCAGGCGGGACUACCCGCUGAGUUUAAGCAUAUCAAUAAGCGGAGGA
rnacentral:misc_RNA from 1 species